AUGGGUUCAGGAAAAAUGAACUACAAUUGGUUUAAAAUUGCUUAAAAUUAAGCUUCUUUUAGUAAGACAGGAGCUGGAGUAUUUUACAGAACUAUGUAGUGUGUUUUGAACUUAUAUGAAGACGCCAGAUUGUCCCUGGCUUGAGCUGAAUAACCAGCCACUGGAAACUGAUACUGUCUUAUCUGUAUCAGAGGAUUCUGUCUGGAGAUGUUAUGUAAAAGAAAAUGAUGACUUGUUAUAUGAGGCACAUUAUGGGAAGUAUUCAGCUGUGCUGUGAGGCUUCUUCUCCUUCCAUUCCCAAUGCACACUUUGGCCAUUAUACUGUAUUUACUUGGCGUAUAACCAGUUCACUGGAAUUAGAUUGCAUUUACUGUGGUAUUUGGGAAGGCUGCCAGUUUGUGAAGCUUUACAUCAAGAAAGCUCAGAAAAGUUUUUGAUGGCUGAAGAACCAGCAAAGUGGUGUUUAUACAGAACAGAAUGAGCUUUGAAGAAGGAUGGAAAAUGUUUUUGCUCAUAGCAUUUAAAAUUCUGGUUUGUAACACUUGUAUUUGAUUAACUUCACCCUCAAUUAUAUAGCUCUGGCAAAGCUUACAAUCCAUAAUUCUGAGACUAUAAAGAAGAAUUUCAGCAAAAAUAUGUCAGAGUUGACAUUCUGGAACGAUGUAAAAGAAAGGAUAAACAAACAAAACCUGCUCCCAUGUUUUGCGAAGGAAUGUUCUGUAUUGUUUUCAAGGGGAAUGUCAUGAAAUGGCAUGAGAAAGUAAGCAGUAUGAAUUUCUGAAUACUGUGCUUUUUGUUUUUCCUGUUGGAUAAUUUGUGUGCGUGAAUAAAAGAGUGAAGAGGGUGUCUCUUGAAGGAAAA
rnacentral:lncRNA from 1 species